rnacentral:rRNA from 1 species
AGUCGAACGGAACUUCUUUAAAGGAUUUCUUCGGAAUGAAUUUGAUUAAGUUUAGUGGCGGACGGGUGAGUAACGCGUGAGUAACCUGCCUCUAAGAGGGGAAUAACAUUCUGAAAAGAAUGCUAAUACCGCAUAACAUAUAUUUAUCGCAUGGUAGAUAUAUCAAAGAUUUAUCGCUUAGAGAUGGACUCGCGUCCGAUUAGUUAGUUGGUGAGGUAACGGCUCACCAAGACCGCGAUCGGUAGCCGGACUGAGAGGUUGAACGGCCACAUUGGGACUGAGACACGGCCCAGACUCCUACGGGAGGCAGCAGUGGGGGAUAUUGCGCAAUGGGGGAAACCCUGACGCAGCAACGCCGCGUGAAGGAUGAAGGUCUUCGGAUUGUAAACUUCUUUUAUUAAGGACGAAGAAAGUGACGGUACUUAAUGAAUAAGCUCCGGCUAACUACGUGCCAGCAGCCGCGGUAAUACGUAGGGAGCAAGCGUUGUCCGGAUUUACUGGGUGUAAAGGGUGCGUAGGCGGCUUUGCAAGUCAGAUGUGAAAUCUAUGGGCUCAACCCAUAGCCUGCAUUUGAAACUGCAGAGCUUGAGUGAAGUAGAGGCAGGCGGAAUUCCCCGUGUAGCGGUGAAAUGCGUAGAGAUGGGGAGGAACACCAGUGGCGAAGGCGG